AUUGAACGCUGGCGGCAGGCCUAACACAUGCAAGUCGAACGAGUGGCGGACGGGUGAGUAAUUUAUGGGAAACUGCCUGAUCGAGGGGGCUAACUACUGGAAACGGUAGCUACUACCGCAUACCAUCCUUUCUGCCCCGAUGGGAUUAGCUUGUUGGUGGGGUAACGGCUAACAGAGGCGACGAUCCCUAGCUGGUCUGAGAGGAUGACCGGCAACACUGGAACGGAGACACGGCCCAGAAUCCGACGGGAGGCAGCAGUGGUGAAUAUGGCACAAUGGGCGCAAGUCUGAUGGAGCAAUGCCGCGUGUAUGAAGAAGGCCUUCGGGUUGUAAAGCUCUUUCAGCGGGGAGGCGUUACCCGCAGAAGAAGCACCGGCUAACUCCGUGCCAGCAGCCGCGGUAAUUC
rnacentral:rRNA from 1 species